rnacentral:tRNA from 1 species
CCAGGCAUAGCUCAGUUGGCAGAGCACGUCCUCGACAAGGACGGGGCCACAGGUUCGACCCCUGUUGCCUGGACCA